AGUAAUUGUUUGGAGCUGGAAAAGGAGGGAUUGUGUGCUUGGCUAGAAGAGCAGCAGGAUCAUGGACAGCUAAGUGGGGGCAGGGCCUGGGGGAGUGAGAGGCUCCUGGCUGGCUGCUAGGACAGAGCCAAAGACAGUUUGCUAGCAGGGACUGGAGGAGCAAUGAAGGAGCUCCUAGCUGGCUGUAGGGAUUAAGUAGGGACUGAGCUUGGGGAGGGUUGCAGGAAGAUAGCGUCUCCAGGGAGAAAGUACUGGGGAUACAGCCCCAAACCAGGGCUGGACUGGUUUAAAGACCAUGGACACACCCACUAGGGGGGGUGCUUGUGAAAGGUGUUGAGAAGGGUCCAGUCAUCACAGUACACACAGUGCUGCUAACUCACAAGCUGAUCACAAGCCUCCUGGAUUCAUAUGACUAGGAGAGAAUCUUUCAUUUAAAAAAAGAAAAGAAUCUCAAAUGGUGGAGGCAGCUCGGAAAAAUGUUCUGCUGCUCUCAAAGCUGGAUGGACUGAUUCUACUUCAAAAUGGAGGCAGCUGCAGAAGUGAGGAUGAUGUGCCUUGAGAUCCUGUGCAGACUGAGUUAGACAGCUUAUGAUUUGUCUAUAAAAUGAGGAUAAUAAUACUUAGCUAUCUUUCAGAGAUAUAGGAAACCUUUAUUACUGAUGUAGUAGCAGGCUAUGCCUGAUUCUUAUGUGGGUAGAUGGUCCUGGGAAGUGUUGGAAAGAACCUUCCUUUUGCUUUCUUCAGACUUCACACACAAAGGCUAGGCACCAUUGCAACAUAAGGACUUGCUCCCUUUGCAUUGUGGUUAUCAGCUCGCUUCUCUGCCACUGCCACCUCCUCCUCCUUCACCCCAUCUCUCUGCUUGGCUGUUAACUGUGAAAGCCAACAUUACAGUAACUCUCCUGAUUCCUUUGAACAUCAUCUGCAUUAAAGACUAGAUUUUCAAAGGGGUCUCAGUCUAACCUCUAACUGCAUGCUAAACAUUGUACUUGUGGGUUUUAUGUCAUUUUCUGUUUGAGUCCUUAAGAUUGUGUGUACAGAAGCCACAGGACCUGAUUAUAGUGGCAUAACUAACUCCACUGACUUAAAAACAUUUCCUCUGAUUAACCUGCAGCAGAAUAUAUCUGUGUGUCCACACUCUACACACUAAUGUCAUGUCACAAUAUACAAGGCAUGUCUUGUAAGGUAUAAUUUGCUGGUCAACGUCAUCUUGAUAAAAUGUGUGGCAACAUGG